rnacentral:rRNA from 1 species
UACGGGGGAGCAAGCGUUGUUCGGAUUUACUGGGCGUAAAGGGCGCGUAGGCGGCCACCGCAAGUCAGUUGUGAAAUCUCUGGGCUUAACCCAGAACGGUCAGCUGAUACUGCGGGGCUAGAGUGCAGAAGGGGCAACUGGAAUUCUCGGUGUAGCGGUGAAAUGCGUAGAUAUCGAGAGGAACACCUGCGGCGAAGGCGGGUUGCUGGGCUGACACUGACGCUGACAGCGCGAAAGCUAGGGGAGCGAACGGG